rnacentral:rRNA from 1 species
GACGAACGCUGGCGGCGUGCUUAACACAUGCAAGUCGAACGGAAAGGCCCUGCUUUUGUGGGGUGCUCGAGUGGCGAACGGGUGAGUAACACGUGUGUAACCUGCCCUUGACUUUGGGAUAACUUCAGGAAACUGGGGCUAAUACCGGAUAGGAUCUCCUGCUGCAUGGUGGGGGUUGGAAAGUUUCGGCGGUUGGGGAUGGACUCGCGGCUUAUCAGCUUGUUGGUGGGGUAGUGGCUUACCAAGGCUUUGACGGGUAGCCGGCCUGAGAGGGUGACCGGCCAAAGUGGGACUGAGAGACGGCCCAGACUCCAACGGGAGGCAGCAGGGGGGAAUAUUGAAGAAUGGGAGGAAGCCUGAUGCAGAAACGCCGCGUGCGGGAAGACGGCCUUCGGGUUGUAAACCGCUUUCGCCUGUGACGAAGAGGGAGUGACGGUAAUGGGUAAAGAAGCACCGGCUAACUACGUG